CCUACGGGAGGCAGCAGUGAGGAAUAUUGGUCAAUGGGCGCGAGCCUGAACCAGCCAAGUAGCGUGAAGGAUGACUGCCCUACGGGUGGUAAACUCCUUUUAUAAAGGAAUAAAGUGCGGCACGUGUGCCUUUUUGUAUGUACUUUAUGAAUAAGGAUCGGCUAACUCCGCGCCAGCAGCCGCGGUAAUACGGAGGGUCCGAGCGUUACCCGGAUUUAUUGGGUUUAAAGGGAGCGUAGAUGGGUUGUUAAGUCAGUUGUGAAAGUUUGCGGCUCAACCGUAAAAUUGCAAUUGAUACUGGAAGUGUUGAGUACAGGUGAGGUAGGCGGAAUUCGUGGUGUAGCGGUGAAAUGCUUAGAUAUCACGAAGAACUCGGAUUGCGAAGGCAGCUUACUAAACUGCCACUGACAUUGAUGCUCGAAAGUGUGGGUAUCAAACAGGAUUAGAUACCCCGGUAGUG
rnacentral:rRNA from 1 species